GCAUGGACAAUUAGGUUUACAACCCAACAAUCAAAUAUAAGCCAUAUCACAUGGCCAUUACAAAUUGAAUCAUCCAUAUUAGAGGCCUUUACAACUUGGCCAAAUUUGCAUGACACAUAUCACAAAAUAACCAAGUCCCCUUAUACAUGCCAUACUCAAGUUAUCAAAUUCACUAUACCCAAUAUUCUUUUGAUAGUGUGAUCAAAUACUCUGACAACUUUUGAUCCCCGAGCUAGCUUGGCAAAACUACAGAGGAUGGAAAGGAAAGGGGGUAAGCAUUAAAGCUUAGUAAGUUCAUAUGCAAAUAAUAUGCAAUGACAGUAAGCAAUUAUCACACAAAGACAUAAUAACAUAACCAUAAAGAUUAUUCAUCAUUCAAGCAUUUUGACUAAUUUAUCAAGUGUUCAUAUAUAUAUACUUUCUCAUCACAAUUCAUCCUUUAUCAAGGCAUUGCUCAUGAGUUUAGCAUACAUACUUGUACUUACACGUAGUAUAUCAUAUGAUCAUACCUUCUUUCGCAUGCCCUCCUUAAGACUUUCAUUACAUCAUCCAUUUCAUUUCCCGUUGAAUGCUCAGAAUAACAUUAGAUAGUGGAAGACCUUGCACCUAAGUGCCAUACAUACAUACAUAGCCAAAGCUACCUCAUAACAUGUAACGCUCGAAAUGGAGCUACUCAUAGGCCCGUUAGCAUAAGCUAUCGAUCAGGGUGUAACUACGCGGGCUGCUCACACAAGCUGUCAGGUAUCCAAACCACUUAGGACUACCUAACCACCGAUAGGACACACAAGACUGGUACCCGGAACCAAAUUACAUGUAUCUCGUACAUCAUUAACUCAGACCACUCAAUGAGUUCAGAUGUCACAUACAUAUAUCACGAACCCAGACUGCUGAAUGAGUUUGGAUUCCUUAAUUCCUAGUGACAUGUCACUUGUAUCCUAGACUAUUCCUAAGGUUCAAACGGGGUUUCCUUGCUUGUCGCAUCACUGUCGAACUUGCUCGUAAUGUCGUUUACGAUAUCCAUAAUACCAACCAUGUACUCAUGGAAUAUCAAGGCAUAUAAUUCAUGAUAGCAAAUAAGCAUUUAAAUUCAUAUAACAUUCAAGCAUUAAAAUAUCUAACACAUCACAUUAUUUACACAUAAACUUACCUCGGUACAAAAUGAUGAUAAACGAGCCUAUUCGUCGAAAACUUUAUUCUUCCCUCGAUCAAGACCCGGAUCACGUUUUUCUUGAUCUAUAAUGCCCAAUUUAACUUAUUUAUCAAUCACAUUGUUCAAAUCAAUCCACAAUUCGUGCCUUGGUAAAAUUACCCUUUUACCCCUAACUUUUCACUUAUUUACAAUUUAGUCCCUAGGCUCGUAAAAUGAAACACAUGUAUUUUCUUUGUUACCCAAGCCUAGCUAAGUUUUCCUUGUACUCAUAACAACCCAUAUUUUCAUCAAAAUUAGAUUUUUAUCACUUAUUUUACAUCUUUUACAAAAUGGUCAUUUUAGGUGUUUUCAAGCAAAAUCACCUAGUAAAAGAUGUUAAAUACAUAUCAAACUAUCAUAUUCUUUCAUUAAACAUCAAGAUACAAACUUUUCAUGCACGGGUAAAAAUUCCAACAUGAACCCUACCAGAAAAUGUGGUUAGAAAUGGCUACAUCAGUUAUAAGGAUUUCAAAAAUGUAAAGAACAUUAAAAAUGGGGCUAGGGAACACUUACUUCCAAGCUUGAAAAGUUUGAAAACCCUAACUAUGGUUCUUCACAAAUUUCGACAGCUAAGGAGGAAGAUGGACAACAUUUUCACUUGAUUUUCCCUUUUUAAUUCAUUUAAUUACCAAAUGUCCAAAAUGCCCUUAAGGCCUUUCUUUCAAAUUUUUCCUAUGCAUGUCCAUUUUUGUCCAAACAUUUAGAAAUUGGUCAAAUUACUAUUUAGGACCUUCUAAUUUAUAAUGUAAAGCAAUUUCAUGCUAAAAUCUUCUAGAACAUAAGUUUUACAUCUUAUUCACUUUGGUUCCUAAAGUUCAAUUGGACAUUUUAUGCAUAGAAUUUACUCAAUAAAUUUUCACACUAGCAUGCAUACAUAUCAUAGACCUCAUAAUAAUCAUAAAAUAAUUAUUUCUAUCUCAAAUUUAUGGUCUCGAAACCACUGUUCUGACUAGGCCUAAUUCGGGAUGUUACAUCAGCCGUGUGUGACACACGGACAUACGCACAAGCGUAUGGUUUGGCCGUGUACCCUUGCAUCUUAAAAAAUAAGAAACAAAAUGCUCAAAAUUGGUCACAUUGGCAGAUACGCAAGCGUGUGUCUCUUCCUUGUGAAUCCUGUACCUGAUUUUUGAAAAUUAAAUUGUUCAUACGGCCUAGCACACAAGCAUGUGGCUAGUCGUGUGACCCAAGUCAGUAGCUACCAUAAUUUGAACACGGGCUGGGACACAGCCGUGUGCCUCACUUUGAAUGCUAACAUGACCUAAGACACGAAUGUGUCACCUGGCCAUGUGAGCCACACGGCCUGACCACAUGGGCGUGUGUUUCUUGCACCUAAGAAAAAUUUUAAAAUUUCGUGAAAAUUUUUUUAGUUUCUGGGUUAGUCUCGAUUUGAUUCUAACAUGUAUUUUAGGCUUUAAGAACCCAAUUUAGGGACGAUAUGCAUAAUUUUGAAUAUGAAUAGUAAGUAACAUAAAUUUUCUGUAAUUGAUCUACAAAAUUCGGUAAUGUUCUGUAACCCUGUUUCGGUGAUGGAUAGGGGAUAUGGGUGUUACAUUUAUUGGUAAUAGAGAUACGGUUUAACCGAUUCUGAGACUAAUGUAGCAAGUUCAAGUUUAGCUAUACAUGUCAUUAUAUAUAAUUUGUGAUAGUGUGAUCUCUCCUAACCAUUUUAAAUGUGUUUUUCAUAUAGUAAUGUCAUCCAACUGAGCUAGAGCUGAAUCUGAGAAACCUGAGAGCAAUGCUCCAGCUUCAAUUUAAAGAGCUGCAUCUAGUAUUAGUAGAAGGUCUGAAUCUGAGGGUCGAGGUGAGGAGACAAAAGAAGCCUUCUUUCAAAUGAUGAAUGAGUGGUUCACAGAAUUCUUAAGAACAAAUCUUGCUGUACAACAACCUCCCCCUCCUGCCCCUCAAUCAGUUCCAAAUAUGCCACAAUGAACAGAACAUGUUAGAAAGGUUAAGCCUCCGGUAGAUAAAAUUUGGUAAUAUGGGGAAGAAGAAUUUAGGGCUACUGCCGAUGAUGAUCCAGGAAGGGCUAAACAUUGGCUAGAAAAUACUAUCAGGGUUUUGGAUGAAUUGUCUUGUACACCUGAAGAAUGCAUGAAAUAUGUUGUAUCUCUGCUAAAAGACUCAGCCUACCAGUGGUGGAAUACCAUAAUUUUUGUUGUACCGAGGGAAAAUGUUACAUGGGAAUUUUUUCAAACAGAAUUCAAAAAGAAAUAUAUUAGCCAGAAAUUCCUUGAUCAAAAAAAUAAAGGAUUUUUAGAGCUUAAACAGGGGAAUAUGUCAUUAUUUGAAUAUGAACGAGAACUUUUUCAGUUAAGCAAAUAUGCCAGAGAAUGUAUCCCGACCGAAGUUGCUAUGUGUAAAUGGUUUGAAGAGGAAUUAAACGAAUACAUUAAGUUGUUAAUUAGGAUUUUGGAAUUAAAAAAAUUUGUUGUGCUGGCUGACCGAACACAUAAAGCUGAAGAACUAAAUAAAGAAAUGAGGCAGGCAGAGAUAGAAGCCCUAACUUCAAGUAAAAGAUUUAUGGGCAAACCAUAAUCAUCAGCUUCAAAGAAAUCAAAGAAAUAUCAUGAUCGUUCUGUUUCAUCUGUGGGGUAUUCUAGAAAAGACCGAGGCUCUCAACACUCUAAUUCGAGAUCUCUGGCCCCAUCAGUAGCAAGUGCUAGAAGUUUCAGUAAUCCCAAACCUAGAUGUAAACAUUGUAAUAAAUUUUAUUUUGGAAAGUGUUGUAAUAGCUCGGUUUAGACCCUAGUCGAAUAGUGGUUUCGGGACCAAAAAUAUGAGGUUAUAAAAUAUUUUAAUAAUAUUUUUUGUGCUUAUAAUAUGUGAAUUAAUAUGUGUGAAAGUUUCAUAUAAAAAUUUGAUCGUUUGUGUGCUUAAUUUAGAAAAACGACCUAAUCGCGUAAAAUGUAAAAGUGGCUAGCUAUUUGUCAAAAGUGUCGGAUUGCUAUGUCUUAUUAAAGGAGAGGUCCUUAUGAUGUUAUUAGACCAUAACUAAGGUUAAUGGACAUUAAUGACCAUCCAUUAAAUGAUUUUUAUAUGGUUUAAUAAAGGGUAAAAUUGGUAUUUGAUUAUUAAUUAUAAGUUAAAUAAAAUAAAAGCCAUUUCUUCUUCCAUUAUCAUCAUCUAGAAAAAUUUGAAGAAAGAAAAUAAAGCUUUCAUAGUCAUUUAGGGUUUGACACUUUGAUAGCUUGAUUGAGAUCAAGAACCAAAGAAACAGAAUUAGAUCGAGGAAGGUCGAAAGACGUUGAAUAGCCGUUUGUUUCCAUUCAUUUUCAUACGAGGUAAGUCGAUAUACAAAUAAAUGUAUUCGAAUUGAAUUAUUAUUGCUUUAUGUUUAUGAAUUAUGAUGAAUGGUUAUUUGAGUUGAAUAUGAGAAAUCUGAGAAAGUUUUGAUAAUGUGACGACGUCUGAAAAGUCUCGUACAAACCAUAGGAAUAGUUAGGAUACAUAUGUCAUGACAUAGAUUUUUAAUAUUUGAUUUCGUGUAAGACCACGUCUGGGACGUUGGCAUCGAUUUGAAAAUUACGUGUAAGACCAUGUCCGGGACAUCGGUAUCGUAUUUGAUUUCAUGUAAGACUUUGUUUGGGAUAGUAGCAUCAAUAUUUGAUUACAUGUAAGACUACAUCUGGGACGUUGGCAUUGUACAAGCUUUCUGAGCUAUCUGCGUAUCUUAUUUGAUUCUAUACAGUUCAACGGGCAUUUUGAGGAAUAUGUGAUUGAAUGAAUGAAUAACUGUUUCAGGUACGUAGAGAUGUGUUCAACAUUUCUUAAUGAGAAGUAAGUAUAUGUGCAAGCAAUGAUAUGUGAUAUAAGUAUGAGAAAAUAUGUUAUAUGUGCAAAUGAAUUGUGAAUAUGUGAAAUGUGUAUUAACUAUGUGGUUUGUGAUAGUAUUUGGCUAUAGAGUAUAUGUAUUUUAUGAUGCUUAUAUGUUUAAAAUGAUAAGUUUGUUUUUAUAUGGCUUACUAAGCUUUUGAAAGCUUACUUUGUGUGUGUUUGCAUUGUGUUUUAGAUAUCGAAGCUACUGGAAGCUCGGGGAUCGUCGAGGAUCAUCACCACACUAUCAAAUAUUAUUUUAGUACUUUUUGAAAAUAUAUAUAUCAAAGUAUGGCAUGUAUAGGCUAGAAUUAAUGUGGUAUGUUUUGAGAUGGGUAUAUCAUGCCAUGAGAUAUGGCUUGAUUAUGGUUGAACUUAUGGUUUGAUUUUGGUAUAGGAUAUGUGAUGCAAAAAUGGUAAAUUUGGUGUAAAUUUAUGGCCUAGUAAAAUGGCAUUUUUGGUAAGUUCGUUUUGUGGUUGAAAUGGUUAUAAAUGUGAUAUGAAUCAUAUGUUCAAGGUAUGAAUUAGUUACAUGGAAUUAGUAUGUUUGAGUUGGAAUUAUGUGUGGAAAUGAUUAAUGAUAUUGAAGUAUGAGUGAUGCUUGUUUUGGAAAUGUUUUGGUUGCAUAUUGAGUUAUGAAAUAUGGUCUUAAAAGCUUAUGUAUAUAGGGUGGCAAAAUGGCUUUUCAAGUAGCCUAUAUUUUUGUCCACACGAGUAGAGACACGGGCGUGUGCCUCAGCCGUAUGUGACACAUGGUCAUGUUACAUGGCCGUGUGUCUCCUGGGGUAGUCCUACAAUUUAAAGUCAGUCUCGAGCACGACCUAGACACACGGGCGUGUCUAGUGGCCAUGUGAGGCAUACAGCCUUGGCAUAUGGGCGUGUGUGGCCAUUUCGAAAGGUACACGGGCUAGACACACGAGCGUGUGAUCGACCGUGUCACCCAAGUCAAUUUUGACCACGGCCGAGACACAAGAGCAUGUCUUUGGCCGUGUGGUAUAAGUCAGUAUGCAUGCCCUGUUUUCACAUGGCCUACGCCACGGGCGUGUUUGGUGGCCGUAUGAGGCACAUGGCCUGUUCACAUAGGCGUGUGACAUGUGAUUUCAUGAAAUUUUUCUAAGUGUUUGAGAACUUUUAUACGAGAUCGAUUUUGUCCCGAACCUUCUCCAAAAUAUGUUUAAGGUCUCAUUGACCUAAGAAAGGGACUUUAUGUUGAUAUUUGACUAUGAUAUGAUGAUGUAUGACUUUUGAUUGUGAAAUGAUUGCGAAACGUUCUGACUUGUCUGGUAAUGCCUCAUAACCCUAGUCUGGCGACAGAUAUGGUUAGGGGUGUUACAAGUGUCAUAUAAGAAGUAAAUUCUGUUAUAGAUGUAGUUCUCUCGACCACUAUCUUAAAGAUUGUCCAGAAAGGAUUGAAAAAGAUAUUGUUUAGACUUUGAAGCCAAGCAACCUUGGCUCGAGAGGUAAACCACCCUAUCACCCUGGCAAUGUCAGUGGUAACCGAGGUGCUACAAAAGAUUCAACAAUUAAAUCUGAAGCACGAGCACCGGCAAGGACAUAUGCUAUCCGUGCACGUGAGGAGGCUUCUGCACCCGAUGUUAUUAUUGGUACAUUUUUUUAUAUUGAUAUUACUACUUUAAUUGAUCAUGGUUCAACACAUUCAUACAUAUGCACGAAUUUAGUGUCUGUUAAAAAUUUACCUAUUGAGUCCACUGAAUUAGUGGUUAAAGUUUCGAACCCCUUGGGCUAGUAUUUGAUGGUGGAUAAAGUUUGUAAAAAUUUUCCGUUAAUGGUACGGGGUUAUUGUUUCUUGGCUGAUUUAAUGUUGUUGCCAUUUAAUGAAUUUGACAUAAUUCUGGGUAUGAACUGGCUAACUCAGCAUGAUACAGUGGUAAAUUGUAAAAAAAAAUAUUGUGUUAAAAUGUCAAAAUGGUGAAUUUUUUUCAUAUUGAGUCUAAUAAAUUGGAUGAGUUAUCCAAUGUAAUCUCAACUAUAUUAGCACAGAAAUAUAUCAAGAAAGGGUAUGAUGCUUAUCUUGCAUAUGCGUUGGACACUAAAAUAUCUAAGUCGAAGAUUAAAUUAGUGCAAGUUGUCUGUGAGUUUCCUAAUGUGUUUUCAGAAGAAUUACCUAGAUUACCGCCAGUCAGAGAGGUGGAAUUUUCUAUAGAUCUUGUCCCGAGGACAACACCAAUAUCCGUAACUCCUUAAAAAAUGGCUUCUACAAAAUUAAAAGAAUUGAAAGCAUAGUUGCAAGAAUUGACUGAUAGAGGUUUUGCUCGACCCAGCUCAUCAUCUUGGGGUGCACCGAUUUUAUUUGUUAAGAAAAAAUAUGGAUCAUUGAGGUUAUGUAUUAAUUACAGACAACUCAACAAAGUUACAAUAAAGAACAAGUAUCCAUUGCCUCGUAUUGAUGAUUUGUUUGAUCAGUUGAAAGGUGCCACUGUAUUUUCAAAUAUUGAUCUCUAUUCUGGUUAUUAUCAGUUAUGGGUGAAAGACUCAAAUGUACCAAAGACAGCCUUCAAAACUAGGUACGGGCACUACGAGUUUCUUGUGAUGACAUUCGGCUUAACUAAUGUAUCUGCAGUAUUUAUGGAUUUAAUGAAUAGAAUUUUCAGACCAUAUCUAGAUAGAUUUGUGGUGUUAUUUACUGAUGAUAUCCUGGUAUAUUCUCGAGAUGAAAAUGAACAUGCUGAUAAUUUGAGAAUUGUGUUGCAAACUCUGCGUGAAAAACAAUUGUAUUCCAAAUUUAGUAAAUGUGAAUUUUGGCUUCGGGAAGUCAGUUUUCUUGAACAUUAGUAUCUGCAGAAGGUAUCAGGGUAGAUCUAAAUAAAAUUUCAGCUAUUGUUAAUUGGAAGCCACCAAAAAAUGUGUCUGAAGUCAGAAGUUUUUUUGGGAUUAAUUGGUUACUAUCGGAGAUUUGUACAAGGGUUUUCUAUGAUAGCUUCUACGAUGACACGAUUGUUGCAAAAAGAUGUGAAGUUUGAAUGGCCUGAUAAAUGUCAGCAUAGUUUUGACAGAUUGAAAGCCUUGUUGACUGAAGCACCCAUGUUAGUUUAGCCUGAAUCGGGUAAGGAAUUUGUGAUUUUUAGUGAUGCAUCAUUGAAUGGUUUGGGUUGUGUCUUGAUGCAAGAAGGUAAAGUAAUAGCCUAUGCUUCUAGACAACUAAAACCACAUGAAAAGAACUACCCGAUACAUGAUCUAGAAUUAGCAGUCAUUGUAUUUGCAUUGAAAAUUUGGCGACACUAUAUGUUUGGUGAAAAAUGUCACAUAUGCACUGAUCAUAAAAGUUUAAAGUAUCUGAUGUCACAAAAAGAUUUGAAUUUGAGACAAUGCAGGUGGCUUAAAUUAUUGAAAUAUCAUGAUCUAAUUAUUGAUUAUCAUCCUGAAAAAGCUAAUGUGGUUGCAGAUGCUCUGAGAAGAAAAUCCCUAUUUGCCUUACGAGCAAUGAAUACCUAGUUGUCUUUGUCUGAUAAUGGUUCAAUCAUAAGUGAGUUAAAAGCUAGAUCGACAUUUCUACAGCAUAUUUCUGAAGCUUAAAAAAUGAUGAUGAAUUACGAGCUAAACGAGUACAAUGUGAGUCAAAUUCCGAUUCAAAAUUUUGGAUUGCAUCUGAUGGUUAUCUGUUAUUUAUGGGAAGAAUAUGUGUACCGAAAAAUUCAGAACUUGUACAGAAGAUACUGUGCGAAGCUCACAAUGGUGUUAUGUCUAUGCAUCCGGAGAGUAACAAAAUGUAAAAUGUUUUGAAAAAGAUGUACUGGUGGCCGGGAAUGAAACGUGAUAUUUUUGAAUUUGUAUCUAAGUGUUUGAUAUAUCAGGUACCUUCGGGAUUAUUACAGCUAGUUACGAUACCAGAAUGGAAGUGGGAAAGAGUUAUUAUGGAUUUUUUAUCAGGGUUACCUUUAUCUCUGAAAAAGAAAGAUGUCAUUUGGGUAAUUGUCGACUAGUUAACAAAGUGUGCACACUUUAUUCCGGUAUGUAUGGAUUUCUUCCUAGAUAAAUUGGCUGAAUUAUAUGUUUCUGAGAUUGUUAGACUACAUGGGGUACCAGUCUCUAUUAUUUUUUAUAGAGAUCCCCGGUUUACAUCCUGAUUCUGGAAUAAGUUGCAAGAAGUUCUGGGUACACAGUUAUAUUUCAGCACCGCUUUCACUCCUCAGACUGAUGGACAAUCCAAACGUGUGAUAUUGAUUUUAGAAGAUAUGCUUCGGUGUUGUGUGUUGGAAUUCGAAGGUAACUAGGAAAAAUACUUGCCUUUAGUUGAAUUUGCAUACAAUAAUAGCUAUCAAUCAAGUAUUAAAAUGGCACCGUAGAAGGCUCUGUAUGGUCAUAAAUGUAGAACUCUGUUGUAUUGGACUAAGCUCAGUGGUAAAAAGAUACAUGGAGUUGAUCUAAUUCGUGAGACUGAAGAAAAAGUGAAAGUGAUCAGAGACAGUUUAAAACAGCUUCUGACCGUCAAAAAUCUUAUGUUGAUCAGGUCGGUGAUAAAGUAUUUUUGAAAGUAUCAUCUUGGAAGAAAGUUCUUUAGUUUACCCGUAAAAGAAAACUGAGUCCACGAUUCAUCGGACUAUAUGAAGUUAUUGAAAGAAUUGGACCUAUUACAUACAGAUUAGCAUUACCAUCGAAGCUUGACAAAAUUCAUGAUGUUUUUCAUGUGUCUAUGUUGCGACGGUACCGGUCAGAUCCUUCACAUGUUAUUUAUCCGACAGAAGUUGAAAGUCAUCCUGAUAUGAUUUUCAGUGAAGAACCGAUCAAAAUUUUGGCACGUGAAACAAAAGAAUUAAGAAAUAAAAAGGUAGCUUUAGUGAAAGUUUUAUGGCAACGACAUGGAAUAGAAGAAGCUACCUAGGAACCAGAGGAAAAAUGAGAAAGCAAUAUCCGAACCUCUUUACUGGUAAGAUUUUCGAGGAUGAAAAUUCUUUAAGAACGAAGAGUUGUAACAGCCCAUUUUCAAUAAAAUCAGAAUAUUGGUUUCAGGACCACAAAUCUGAGUCAGAAAGAAAAUUUAUUUUAAAAUUAUUGCAUGGUAUGCAUCAUGAUAGGAAAGACGUAUAAAAAUUUCAAUAAGAAAAUUUUACCGAUUUCAUGUUUAAUUAUGGAAACGACCAAAUUGCCUAAAAUGAAAAAGUUGAGUUCUAGUAGCUAUAAGUAUCAAAUAGCUAUGGAAUUCAAAACUUGAGGUCCUUAUAUGGUAAUUAAACCAUUAAGAAAGUUAGUAGAUUUUUUUAUGAUUCAUCCAUGGAAAUUUAGAAAAAGAAAAGGACUAAUUUGAAAUUGAAAUAAAUAAAAUAUGAUAAAUAAAAUAAAUGUUUAAUAUCAUCAUUUUAUAUCAUCUUCUUCCUAAAAUUCUAUAGAAACCCUAGGACAAAGAAAGAAAAUCAAGCAAGUUUAAUUAGGCAAGCAAUCAUGUCCCGUUUUUAGUAAUUUUCAUAUUUUUGAGAUUGUAUAACUUAAUCUAUCUAUUUUGGGGAUCAAUUUGAAAAGAUAUUAAGUGUUAAAAUUAUUCCAUGGAUGAAUAUACUGAAAAUUUGAAAUUUAUGGUAGAAAAUGAAAGGUUGUUGAUAGAUAAACAACUUUUGUUGAUAGGUAAACAACUUUUGUAAAGUGAAUUUUCAUGAAAUUGUGAUUUAGGGACUAAAUUGUAAAUAUGUAAAAUUCAUGGAAAAUUUCUGAUUUUUAUGAAAUAUAUGUGCUAUAAAUGUUAUAUGUAAAAAUUGGUUAGAAUUGGAAUAAGGAUUAAAUUUCACGAAUUUUAUUUCCCAAGAUUAGGGACAAAAUCGUCAUUUAUGAAAAGUAUAGAGGCAAAAUGGUAAUUUUUCCUAGGGUGUGAACUCGAUUAAAUUGAGUUGAAAUGGAUUAAAUUGAUGUUAAAUUCAUUUAUAUAGAUUCGGAUAGACCUAGUACAAAGUUGGAUCGAGGAAAACAAAAAGUUUCAGAUUAGUAGAUCCUUAUAUACGAACGUUUAUUAAGGUAAGUUCGUGUAACUAGAUCAUGUAUAUAAAUAUGUUUGAAAUUUAAUGUUGAAUAUGUAUGAAUUGUAUAAAUGUUUAAUGUAUAAAAUCAAUUACAUGCCUGAUAUUGCUUGAUAAGUAUAAGUCUCGUUUAAAUAGAUGGAAUUCAAUGGAUACAGGAUUUCCUGAUUGGUUGUGGUUUUGCAUAUGUUGCUGACACACCAUAGCUCGAAAGAGUAUCCUAUUAUAAGCCCUCUUGAUGCUUCCCAUUACAUGGUUCCUGCGACCAUCCUAAUUGGUAGUAAUCCUGCAUGUGUUGCAGACUACCGUAGCUCUUUGUGAGCGUUCUGUUAUACGAUCGGUUGUGACCCUAUAUAUAUUGUGGACACAAACGCAGCUCUUUAUGAGCGUCCUGAUAUAGGCUCUUUUUGAGCUUCCUAAUAUGGCUAACUUGAACUUCCUGUUAUAUGGCUAUCCGGAGCUCCUUGAUAAUAGUUUUUCAGAGUUACCUGUUAAGCUCAAUGAGCUUCCUGUUCUAAACUCUUAUGAGUUUCCUGUUAUAGCCUGGAUAAACUUCCUGUUACAUGGCUCACAUGAGCAUCCUGCUAUAUAGCUCGAGAGAGUGCUUCCUGAUUAUGUGCCCUAAUUGGGUACCCCAAAUAUGAGUUAACGAUUUACAGUGUUAUACACUUCAAGUGUAUUACAUGUGUAUCCAUCGAUAUUUCAAAUAAAUUCAACGGGCAAAGUUCUGUCAUGGUUAAUCUGAACUUGAGAUGAUUUAUGAUAGAAAUGUAUAUGUUAUACGGAAAUAUGAUAAGAAAAGUAUGUGUAUGAAAGUUAUUACAUGAUGAGCUCAUCUUUAUUACUUGAAAAGUAUUUAAAAAUUCAUGACUAACUUGCUUGUUUGAGUGUAUGUGAUUAGGCAAUUGGUCAAUUUGUUGGGAUGUAUGUUAUUUACAUGAUUACUUAAAUUGAAUAUAAACGGUAAGUUAAAUUCCUGUUAUGCGAACUUACGAAGCAUUAAAUGCUUACUUUGUUUUAUUUUCCUCUGUUUUAUAGUGCUCGGAAGCUCGUGAAGGUUGGAAUCAGUUGGAGCACCAUCACACUAUCCUUCAGCUCUUUUGGUAUAAAUAAAAAACUUAUUUUGGUAUAAUGGCAUGUAUAGCCUAACUUGGCCAAUGUUGGCACAUGAAUGGUUGUUUGUAAUCUAACCAUUAGAAUGGCUAAUAAUGGUAUGUUUAGUGAAUAUAUAUAUGAGGUUAUAAUAUGGUUAAUAUAUAUGUCCUUGGAUGGUUAGAUUGAUUUAUAGAAAGUGUAUAAGUCUUACAAAAGGUAAGUUUGAAUACAUGUGAUGAUAUAUCUUAUAGAAUAUUAAUAUUCGCUUGGUUUUAAUGUCUUGAAUUGGUUGGUAUAUGUAUGUGGGAGUUGAUGUAUGAAAACAAUUUGGGUGAUAAAAGAUGCCAUGAAAAUGGCCUAUUUUCGUCCACAAGGGUAGACACACGGGCGUGUGUCUCAACCGUGUGUGACACACGGCCAUACGCACGGGCUUGUGGUUUGGCCGUGUGUCCUCUGCAUCUUAAAAAUUGAUAAACAGAAUGCUCAGAAUUGGUCACACGGGCAGUGACACGGGCGUGUGUCUCAACCGUGUGAAUCCUGCACCUAAUUUUUUAAAAUUAAAUUGUCCAUACGACCUAGCAUACAGGCAUGUGGCUGGCCGUGUGACCCAAGUCAGUAGCUACCAUAAUUUGAACACGGGCUAGGACACAGCCGUGUGCCUUACAUCAAAUGUGUACACGUCCUAAGACACGGACGUGUCACCUGGCCAUGUAAGCCACACGGGCGUAUAUUUCCUGCACCUAAGAAAAAUUUUGAAAUUUUGCUAAAAAUUUUCUGAGUUUCCGGUUUAGCCCCAAUUUGAUUCUAACUUGUAUUUUGGGCCUUGAGGACCCAAUUAAGAGAUGAUAUGAUUAAUUUCGAAUAUGAAUAGUAAAAAACAUAAUUUUUUUGUAAUUGAUCUGUAAACUUCGGUAAUGUUCCGUGACCCUGUUCCGAUAACGAAUAGGUUAGGGGUGUUACAAAAUGAACACCUAUAUAUGUUAUACAGACUUAUGAUUUGAUUAUGUACGUUGGUUACACAUUGAGUUAUACUCAUUCUGUUUGUUUACUGAUUUUCAGGUAAACCAUCGACUUAACAGGCUCAGCGUGUCAGGAGCUCGAUCAUCUCUCCUUUCUGAUUAUCUUCAUUGUUUAUAUAAACUUAUACUAUCGCAUGUUCUUUCGGGUUACAGUGUUUAACUUUGAAUUAACUUGAUGGGUCAAUUGUUUAAAUGUUUUAAGAUAACAAAUUUUUAAUGGUUAAGGUUGGAUUGUUCUUAAACGUUUUGAUGUAACUCUUCAGACUUGGUCAAAGUUUAGGUCGAGUAUGGGGUGUUACAAAUCCAAAAAUUCCUAAUAUUUUUUUCUCUCAACAUUUAUCACUUCUUUUCCCAAAUUUUUCUUAUUUUCCACACACACUUUCCAAAAAUUUUACUAGAUAUGUAAACUAUACUUUAAUACUUCUAAGUUGGCCUUCCUAAUUUGAUAGCAACUCUUAUUUUCUUUACAAGAUUUAUUGAUUAAUCUCUAAAAAGUCAACAUUGUAACUAAUGAUGCAUUAGGAUUUUUGGCAAAGUUCAGUUUUUAUUAAUUAAAUGAUUUUUGAGAUAUUGAUUUUGUACAAAAUGUCUAACCUCUUGAUUCAAUGAUAACUUUUAGAUUUGUAUUAAUAUAAGUCCUUGAAGAAAUUAAGAUUAAUCAUAUUUAUAAUCUUGAAUUUCAUGAAUAUUGAUUAGAAAUAUUUAACUUUUUUUUAAGAAAUUGUUGUUGCUAGUGUGAAUUUCGUGGUUGUGUUAAUCUUGUGUUUGACAUAUUGCAUUCGCAUAAUAUCAAAAAGCACUUAUGUGAUUUUUAUUUUUGUGAAAAAACUACUAAGAGAAUGCAUAGAAGCAGCCAUAACCCCUCCUCAACACUUAAAUAUUAGUUAUAUGUUGGCUUCAUGAUUUUUUUUAUAUAUAAAGAAUUUAUUUUUGUGUUCUCAAUUUAUCUUAUAUUUCAUAUAAUUUUUCAUAAUAAUUAUAUUUACUAAGUUGUUAUUUGAUAAAUGAUGAAAAAUUAAAUACUGAAUUUUUAGUAUAGAAAUUUAUAAAUAUUGAAUUUAUAUUAUAAAAUUGUUUGGUAUAUUAUCAAAAACGAAAACUACAAAUAAUCGUAUUAUUUGAUAAUAAUAUAUCUUGAUUUUUUUUAAAAUUAUUUAUUUCAUAUUUUAUUUAAAAAAACAUUGAUAAGGGAAAAAUAAUUCAAUAAUUUCAACACGUUAGAAAGUGUUAUGGACAAUUGUGAAAAAAUGGAGUUAUUGAAAUUUAUUUGAUGUACCUUUUCUUUUAGUUAUUAUUUUAAUAAUUUUAUAAUACUCUUACAUUUAACUAUAUUAUACAUUGAUUUACCGGGAAUUAAUAUUAUAUAUUAGUUUAUAUGACAUUUUUAAAGGUUUUAAUCUUUUUUUAAUUUGACCCCGCACUCCAAAUUAUUUGGCUCUACCACUGUAUUUGAGAGAGUUAUUUGUAACAAUUUGGAUUCGAUUUUGGAGUUGCAAUUAUUCAUUGGGAUAAGUAUAUUGGGUUUAAGCUAGUAAUUGUAUUGGGUUAAUUGUUACAUAAAAUCACUCUAAGCGUAACUUUGGCGGAAUAGAACUGUUGAUCUGAGCUACAUUAACAAAUAUUGCAUGUUAUUUCUCUCUUUACUUUGCUUCUUUUUUUAGUUUGUUAUAAACUAUUUUGUCCCAACAUUUGUUUCAACAAAAGUUAGAACGACAAAAUUAGAAUGAAGUGCAAACCGAAGGAUUUUUCAUUUUCCAUUAAUCAACCACCGAAUGUUGGCCCUCAGGCACCUACUCUUGUUCCUGACCUGAUGACUCCUACUCCGUCAGAGUCGUUGAUCACUUAGGUUAUUCUAGACGAAAAGAGAUGCAUGAUACAUAUCCUAUACCGAUGUCUUCGUUUUAAAUUCUGACCCCAAGUGAUGUUGAUUUUCCCAUUGCCCUAGGCAAAGGUAAAUGCCAAUGUAUCUAUCCUCUUUCCAAUUUUGUUUUAUGCAACCAUUUAUGUCAUUUAUCUAUUCCUUAAUUGCGUCUCUAAACUAUAUUUCUAUUCUUAAAGUAGUUGACUUGAGUCAUCCUAAUUAAACUUAAUUAUCAUAUUCCAAACUUUAAAUAGUUAAUAAUAAUUGUAUCAUACUAUGUUUAUGUUAUUAAAAUAAAAUUUUCUUAUCAUUUAUAUUAAUAUCUUAUAUAAAUUUUAAAAUUAUAUAGUUACUUUACUAUAUAACCCUUUACUAUAAUUUAUAUAAAAAAUAAUUAAAAUGAUAUUCAUUAUAUUACAUUAUAUAAAAUUUUAAAUUUAAAUUCAAAAAUGAAUAAAUAUAAAAAUUAUUAAAGCAUAAUAUCAAUUAAAGGAAAUAUAAAAUUUUUCUUUAUUUGAAAACUUUCUAUAUGCAUUUACAUGUGAAUUAUUUACAAUAUAAUUAUUAUAAUAUUUUAUAAUAAAAUAUUAUUAAUUAAUUUGAUGUAAUACGUUAAAAAAACGUACAAUUUGUAGUUUAAUUAUAAGUUUAUUUUUAAAAUUAUAAUUAUAAUAUAAAUAAAUAAUCUAUUUUCAAUUAGGUAUUAUAAAAAUGAUAUAUAUAACUUUUUUACUAAUAUUUUUUAAAAAAAAUUCAAGAUCUAAAACAACAGGAGUUGAAAAUAAUUAUGAGUUAACAUAUUAAUAAUUUUUUAAUCUAAAAAAAUGCAAUUUAAUGAAUUGACCUAUUAAAUACUACAUUACAAACCUUAAACUUUGGUAUUAAAAAAUUAUGUAUGUAUUCAACAAUUUAUUUAUAUACUUUUCAAAUAUCUAUGGUGUACAAUUAUAGCAUUUUUACUACAAUUUUAUAUGUUACUAUUGUGUUAUUAAUCAUUUACUUCUAUUUAUCAAUAAUUUAUUUUUAUAUUAUUUAUCCUAUUUUACUAUUUUAUAAUUAUUUAAUUUUAGUUAAGAAGUUUAUUAUAUGUUAUGAAUAAAUUAUAUAGAUACUUAUUUAAUAAUUUGAGGAGCUUGGACUCAAUCACCCAACUAUUAAAAUAUCAAUUUGGGCGAUAAUAUUAACAACAUAAAAUUUGGGUCACCUUAGUAUUAAAAAUUAGGCAUAAUGUCAAAAAUAACCUCUAAUGUUUGGCUAUUUCAUCACUUUGGCCUUUUAUGUUUUUUUUAAGCAUUUAACACUUAAUUUUUUUUUUGUCAAAUUGAUCUAUUUCUAACAGACAUGCUGAUGUGACCAUAAGUUAAGUAACGAUCAACAUUAACUGCUGAUGUGGCAGUCUAAAUAUAAUUAAAUGCUAACGUGGCACUAUUUUGUCUCAUAUGGCGUGUUAGUAAAUGAUUUUAAAAUUAUUAAAAUUAUUUUAAAAUCAUCAUCAUCGUCAUCGUUUCUUCUUCUCCAUUGCUUCUUUCCAUCGUUCACCGUUUCUACUUCUUCAUUACCGAUUUUCUGGGUUUUAUUAGUGAAUAGAUCUGGGGGCUACUUAGGAUAAAAAGCUUAUUAAAGCAUAAUUUAAUUGUUGUAUAUAUAUUUUUUGAAUUGCUUUUGUGUCGAUUAAUGUUUUGUGUUGUAUUUUCCCACCUGCAUUUGCUAUGUUUUUUUUAGUCUUUACCAAAUUUCAAACCCUUAAAAUUUGAAGCUCCGAGUUGAGUUCCGAAAAUGCUCGCAUUUAGAUGCUAGAAGUAGAUUUGCAAACAAAGAAAAAAAAUCAGAUUUUGAACUUUAAACUAUGGGUGUUGGUAACAAACCCUAGAACACAAAAAGAAAGCGAGGAAGGAAAGGAGAUCUAACCUUGAAAUUAUGAAACCAAGCCUUGUCAGUAGUAGAUCUCG
rnacentral:lncRNA from 1 species